AUGCUUCAGACAAACAGGGGCAGCAAGAUGGAGUCACACACAGAGGUCUUCAUACUCCUGCUCCUCUGGAUGUCUGGUGCUGAGGGGAACAUUGUGAUGACCCAGUCUCCCAAAGUCAUGUCAACAUCUGUCGGAGACAGGAUCACUCUAGGGUGCAAGUCCAGUCAGAAUGUGUAUAAUAAUGUAGCUUGGUACCAACAGAAAUCAGGGCAGCCUCCUAAACUACUAAUCUACUAUGCAUCCAAUCGCCCCUCUGGGGUCCCUGAUCGCUUCACAGGCAGUGGAUCUGGCACAGAUUACACUCUCACCAUCAGCAGUGUGCAGGCUGAAGACCUGGCAGUUUACUACUGUCAGAAUGGUUAUAGUACUCCUCCCACAGUGCUUCAGCCUCCAACAAAAACCUGUUUGAGAGUCUCAUCAGCUGCUUGCAAAACAAACAGCCCUGGGCCUGCACACUUCCCCCUUCUGUCUGAGAUCUGUUAUGCAUGA